UACGGAGGGAGCUAGCGGUGUUCGGAAUUACUGGGCGUAAAGCGCACGUAGGCGGCUUUGUAAGUUAGAGGUGAAAGCCCGGGGCUCAACCCCGGAAUUGCCUUUAAGACUGCAUCGCUUGAAUCCGGGAGAGGUGAGUGGAAUUCCGAGUGUAGAGGUGAAAUUCGUAGAUAUUCGGAAGAACACCAGUGGCGAAGGCGGCUCACUGGACCGGUAUUGACGCUGAGGUGCGAAAGCGUGGGGAGCAAACAGG
rnacentral:rRNA from 1 species